rnacentral:SRP_RNA from 1 species
GCCAGGCAUGGUGGUGCAUGCCUGUAAUCCCAGCUACUCGGGAGGCUGAGGCAGGAGAAUCGCUUGAACCUGGGAGGCUGAGGUUGCAGUGAGCCGAGAUUGCACCACUGCACUCCAGCCUGGGCGACAGAGUGAGACUCUGCCUCAA